rnacentral:sRNA from 1 species
GCUGGGUACAGUGGUGCAUGCCUGUAAGCCCAGCUACUGAGGAGGCUGAAGCAGGAGGAUGGUAAGUUUGAGACCAGCCUCAGGAAAAGUAGCAAGACCCUGUCUCAA